UCGACGCGUUCGGUUCGGAUUUGGAGCUGCUUGGGAGCUUGGGGGCUUCGUGAAGCAUUUACGUGCGCGUUUGUGUGAGUGCUAUUUUAUUCGGUUAGUUAGUUGUUGUUGUUGGUUUGGCUAGUCGGACGAUCUAGCGUGUGUGUGCUCAAUUCUGAAAACGAAAACAACAACUAUACAAAGUUCCAUAUGUGCAGCUAUUUGCCUUAAAAUAAAAUCAAGUGAAAGACACGAACGAAAAGAAAAGCGAGACGGAAAUACUAAAAACUACAAACUAAAUAAAAACAAAAGUGCAGGCAAUUGAUGACCAAAACUUGUCUCUUGUGCCGCCUGCAUAUUUUCUUUAGCCUUAAUUUUGUGCUUCCUGUGAAUUAAC